CCUACGGGUGGCAGCAGUGAGGAAUAUUGGUCAAUGGGCGCGAGCCUGAACCAGCCAAGUCGCGUGAGGGAAGACGGUCCUAUGGAUUGUAAACCUCUUUUGUCGGGGAGCAAAAGACGCCACGCGUGGCGUUCCGAGAGUAACCGACGAAAAAGCAUCGGCUAACUCCGGGCCAGCAGCCGCGGUAAUACGGAGGAUGCGAGCGUUAUCCGGAUUUAUUGGGUUUAAAGGGUGCGCAGGCGGAAUAUCAAGUCAGCGGUAAAAUUGAGAGGCUCAACCUCGUCGAGCCGUUGAAACUGGGGUUCUUGAGUGAGUGAGAAGUAUGCGGAAUGCGUGGUGUAGCGGUGAAAUGCAUAGAUAUCACGCAGAACUCCGAUUGCGAAGGCAGCAUACCGGCGCCCAACUGACGCUGAGGCACGAAAGUGUGGGUAUCGAACAGGAUUAGAUACCCUAGUAGUC
rnacentral:rRNA from 1 species